UCGAGGGUAAUAGUGUGAUCGGAUACAUCAACAGCUUUGGCUCUGAAUAUACUAGCAAUAUCGAGUACAUUUCUGCGCGCAGCAGCAUUCACAGCGAUUUUAAUUAACAUCAAUUCCCGCUCGGCAAAAGGCAAGUGUGUGAGAUCCCGGACCUGUACAUUAUAAAUUCACGGGUCAUAUAUCUUAUUCAUAAGCACGCUACAUUCAAGAAUAUGUUGGAUAUUUUGCGGAAGUACAUAAAAAAAGAAAACCAAGGAAAAUAUAGGAAAGAGUUUUUAAGGCCAAGCUCUUAUUAAUAAUUUUAUUUAGUGAAUUCUUGAUUUCAUGGGUUACAAUUACAAAGGUAAAGACCCUUUAAAUAGAUAAUAAAAUGAUUCUUGAAACUCUUGCCUAGAUAAUUAAAAUGGAUUUUCAAACUACCAAGUGCAUGAAUACUAAAGUGCAUGAAUAUCAAAGUGCAUUAGUUCCAACAGAAUAACCCUCCUUCAGUCAAUAUGCAAUAUUAGCUUAUUUACAUUCUAGGGGUUAUAUGAGAUAACCCCCUCAUACAAAUUCCUUAGAGGCAUAAAUCCAUAUUUUUAUUUACUAUUAGGGAUAACCCCUCAUUAAGGUUAAUAUCUAAUUUACCCUUAUUAUAUUCAUAAAAAUAUAAUUAAAUUAUUAUUGCUAAAGUAAAGUAUUUCAAUUUCCUUUUGAUUCUUUUUACAAUCUUUUUGUAAUUUUGAUUUAAAAAAUAUAUUUAUGUUUUUUCAAUUUUCAUUUUUUUAAUUGGUUGUUUUACCGCAAGUUUAACAAAAAAUUGAAAUCCACUACAUACUCAUUGAACACCACUAUAAAUUCAUCUUUUACAAUCUUUUCGUUAUUUCGAUUUAAAAAAUAUAUAUAUAUUUUUUCAAUUUUCAUUUUUUUAAUUGGUUUUUUUACCGCAAGUUUAACAAAAAAUUGAAAUCCACUAUAUACUUAUUGAAAACCACUAUAAAUUCAUCGAAAACCACUAUUCGAUUAAUGUAGAAAUCAGUAUGAAAUUAUCGUAAUCAACUUUAAUAUUAAUAUAAUACACUACAAACGUAUCGAAAUCGAAUAAAAUUUACAUAAUACACUACGAAUUAACGUAAUCCAUUACAAAAUUAUCAAAAUCCACUACAUUAACGUAAUAUAUGGAUUGAAAUCCACUACAUACUCAUUGAAAAUCACUAUAAAUUCAUUGAAAAACACUAUUCGAUUAACGUAGAAAUCAGUAUGAAAUUAUCGUAAUCAACUUUAAUAUUAAUAUAAUGACUACAAACGUAUCGAAAUCGAAUAAAAAUUUACAUAAUCCACUACGAAUUAACGUAAUCCAUUACAAAAGUAUCAAAAUCCACUACAAAGUUAUCAAAAUCCACUUUAUAGGUUAAAGUAAUCCACUACAAAAUUAACGUAAUAUAUGGAUUGAAAUCCACUACAUACUCGUUGAAAACUACAAUAAAUUCAUCGAAAGCCAGUAUUCGAUUAAAGUAGAAAUCAAUAUAAAAUUAUCGUAAUCAACUUUCAUCUCAAUAUAGUGCACUACGAACGUAUCGAAAUCGAAUAAAUAUUUACAUAAUCCACUACGAAUUAACGUAAUCCAUUACAAAAUUAUCAAAAUCCACUACAAAGUUAACGUAAUAACGUAUCGAAAUCGAAUAAAUAUUUACAUAAUCCACUACGAAUUAACGUAAUCCAUUACAAAAUUAUCAAAAACCACUACAAAAUUAACGUAAUAACGUAUCGAAAUCGAAUAAAUAUUUAAAUAAUCCAACACGAAUUAACGUAAUCCAUUACAAAAUUAUGAAAAUCCACUACAAAAGUUAUCAAAAUCCACUACAAAAUUAACGUAAUAUAUGGAUUGAAAUCCACUACAUACUCAUUGAAAACCACUAUAAAUUCAUCGUAAACCACUAUUCGAUUGAAAACCACUACAUACUCAUCGAAAACCACUAUAAAUUCAUCGAAAAACACUACAAGCUUAUCAUCACCCAACAUGGUCCCACUUGCUGCCAUCACCCGCUUGUGCAUGAAUCUAAACCAAAGAAAAAUAAGACAACAACGUGUCAAUUUAAUUCAUUCACUAAAAAAUGAAGAAUUUAAAAUCCACUAUAAUCUCGUCAAAACCCAGUACAAAAAUUAUCGAAAUCCACUAAAAUAUUAACAUAAUCCACUACGAAAUAAGUUAAUCCACUAACAAAUUACAACAAAAAGUAUAAUAACAAAUACUCAAAUAGUGACCGAAAACGUGAAGGAGCCUCAAAAGUAUAUUGAAAAUCUCAUAUAUAUAAUAGCUCAUUCAACAAUUCGACUAGUUGUCACUUCUAUUUUGUUAACCAUCGUGUAAAAUUUAUUUAUGGAUAUAGAGAAAAAAUGACAGCAACAAAAACAGCAGCAAACCAACAUCUUAAACAGCAGCAAAACAACACGAAAACAACAGCAAAACAGCAACAAAAUCAGCUGCAAAUUAGGAGCCAAACAUCAGUAAAGCCAAAAGAAAACAGCAGCAAAAACAGCAGCAAAAAACAGCAGCAAAAACAGCAGCAAAAAACAGCAGCAAAAAACAACAGCAAAGAAAAUCAGCAAAAUAGCAGCCAAACAAUAGCCAAGCCAAUUGCAGCUAAAAAAUACAAUAAAUAAAUUAUAAUUCUAAAUUUUCAGAAAAAAAUAUCCAAAAUUUGAGAAUAUUUUUGGAAAUUAUGGAAUUUUCGAUAAUAUUUAGUGUUUCACCUUAUUAAUUCGUAUUGUAUUCCUUACUAAAAAUUAUCAAAUCUCAAAACCCAAACAUGUUUGAAAUCAAACAUUAUCAAAUUUCAAAACCAAAACAUGUUUGAAAUCAGAAGAAUUUUUGCACUCAUUCACCGUUAUCACAAAGUUAUUCAUGUGAAUCAAGUUUUAUAUUUUUAUGGAGUUCUCUUUUUUUCAUGAAUCAACAUUAGUCUCUCUCUCUCUCUCUCUCUCUCUCUCUCUCUCUCUCUCUCUCUCUCUCUCUCUCUCUCUCUAUAUAUAUAUAUAUAUAUAUAUGUACACACACACAGGGGAAUGAAAUUCCCCACAAAUACGUACCUGGUCGAAACACCAAUAUCACGAAGAAAUGUUCUGCACAAAAAUCACUCACAAAGAUCUGUUUGUCGAUUCCAGAUCCGAUCGUCGGGAUUAAGCCUUGUCAUCAUCGAUUUUUCUGGUUUCGUCUUCUUUUGCGUUUUAUGUCAUGGUGGUCCUUUAUCCGGCCGUCAAGAGAAGAAAAGCGGAAGAAAUAGUGGGUGGAUGGGGAAGAUGGACAUAUCGGAUUCCGCCGAGAAAAGAAAAACAGAAGAAAGAGAGAGCGGAUGGUGGAUGGAUCGAGAGAAAGAGUGAGGGAGAGAAAACGUGUCUAGGGUUAAACGGCAUGAGAUUUGGGUGGGUUUGGUAAAGGGUAUAAUUGUACUAUAUAUUUUAAAAUUAAAUUAUGGAUUUAUCUCAAAGAGGUGAAAAAAGAAUGGACCCCAUCUAAUAGGAAAUGUCAUAUGAGGGGGUUUUGUCAAAUAAUCCCUACAUUCUAAGGCCUCGUUCGAUUGCCAAGAUAAGAUUAAAUAAUCUAAUGAAACCCAAAUAAAUAAUCUCGGCAAUAAUCGAAUUAUGGGUAAAUAAUCUACAAGGCAAUAAAAUACAGUUUCUCUCUGCGAUUAAUUAAUCUUGGCAUCUACAUUAGUCGAAUACAAAGAAAUACGAAGCGUGGAAUUAGAAAUGCAAUCAUUCAAUUUAGUGUAAAAGUAUAAUAAAGGAUAACACGACAGUUUGUUCUCAAAAUUGUGUAUUUUUAUUUUAUUUUAUUUUUUGGUCAGGUAACGAAGGAACCCGCAACUAACUAUACAAGUGCACUGGGUAAACCUACAUUUUCGAAUAAUAGCUUGCAAACCAUAAGAGAGACGUAAACAUGUAUAUUUACUGGCCGUUUGUCUCUCACUUCAUUGGUAUUCGUCGAAACAGAAAAUAUUUGGUUUUUUUUAACAUUCCAAACUAAACAUACAGAUACAUUGAAACAAAUAUUUUUUUGCAAUAAUAUUAUCUCAUAAUUCCCUGGGAAAUUAGAUGCUACACCUGGUUAUUUACACCGUACCUGAUGGAUUUAAACCGUACGUAGACUUGAUUAAAUAACUAUCCACUAAACACACAUACACAUGUGUGUGUGUGUGUGUGUGAUUAUGUUUAAUCAAGUCUACGUACGGUUUAAAUCCACCAGGUCCGGUGUAAAUAACCAGGUGUAGCAUAACUUCCGCUAAUUCCCCUAUGGCCGAAAAUUCCAAGUCUCAAACCAAUUUGGUGAAAUCAGAAUCCAAAAUCUCCCAAUUCAGGUGCCCUAACAUUGAAAUCCCCAAAUCCAAUUUCCCCAAUUCUUGAAAACCCUAAUUCCCAUAAUUAAAGACAUAGUCCUCAAGUCCCCAAUCGGCUAUCCCUAAUCCGAAAAUCGAAAGCCCUAAUCCCCAAAAUCCAAAACCCUAACUCUGAAAUGGCUUCCCUCACCAUAAGGUUAUGAAGAAAUUAAUUUUUAUUUAAAGUUGAAGGGUUCAUUUUGAAUUGAAUUAGUCGAACCACGUGGCAUGAUUUGAUUUAGCUUACACAUGAAGAUGGUUAGUCCUUAUUUAUGCCUUUGUUUAGAUGGCCGACUUGGUGUCUUACUUCAAAAAAAAAAAAGAAUAUGUUUUAUUAUCUGAAAUGUUAAAUGUUGUUUCAAUUUGUUUUAAUUAAUUAAGAAGUCAUGCUUUAUUAUUCUCAUUUGUUUAAUCAUAAAUUCUUUGUUUAGAUGGAAACUAUUUGUUACUCAUUUUCGUAUUGAACUUUGAUUUUUCAUAAAAAUCAGAUUAAAUGUAACGAAUUAACGAUCAAAUUAAAUUAAAUGAAAUAAUUAAAACGAUGUAGUCGGGGAAUAGAUUUCGACAAAGACUCUAUGCCUUGAACUAAAAACACUAAAUCUUCUCUCUGAGUUACAAAAUUAGGAUCGGAAUAAUGCCUAUAUGAAAUGAAAGCACGUCUUCUAACUAGGAGUCUUGUUUGCAGAUAUUCCGGCAGGUUUUAAACCGUUACAGAGAAUGUCGCCCCUCGAAAUUUAGAAUCAUAACUAAAAUAUUCUUACGAUUCGAAACAAUAAUAUUUUAUAGAAAUAAUAAUACCAAUACUAAUGUCCAACGACUUUCAUUUUAAUUUCAAUCCCUUUUCAUACUAUAGAUAAACUUAAAUUGUCCAAGAACUUACAUUCGGUUUUUCACCGGAAAGUUUUUGUUUUUAUUUUUGUCGAACAAAUUAUAUCAACUUAUAUGGAUGGUAAAAUAAUUUAUAUAUUUUUCUAAAACCUUAAUAAAUCUUUUUUUUUUUUUAAGAAGAAGAAGAAGAAACCUUAAUAAAUCUUUUGAAGAAAUGGUUUUUUUUAUGCGGUAUAAGUCUAAUUUCUAAGCAUAGUGCACAACAAGUUAAUGAAACGACUUAGUGGUUGGGAUGUAUAAUGUAUUGGAACCAAUCCAGUAUGUGCCAUUAUUUUAUUACAUAUACCUAUAUAAAAUUGAACAUGUCUGUAUAGCAGCACUUCACUUUUGUAUUUUAAUAUAAUCAUGGUUAAUUAAAAAAGAAGAGUAUAGCAAUUAAAUUAAUCAGUUUGUAAUCAGGUUCAACAUUACCAAUCGUGUAUGGUUAGUCAGUUACCAUGGUUGGAUCGAAACAAGGGAAGGAAAAAAGAACCAAAGAAGACUGAUCACUUCUCACCAUCUGCAGAUUUGCUCAAAAAGUCCUCUCUCUCUCUCUCUCUCUCUCUCUCUCUCUCUCUCUCUCUCUCUCUCUCUCUCUCUCUCAUACACAUACACACCUACACUCAAUCCUCAAGAAAACAAUAUAAUGGCAGCAGAAGCUGUUCUAGGAGCUGCUGUAAAAGUUCUACUUCAAAAUCUGAUCUCAGUUUCGGGAGAGCAAAUCAGCCUCGUUCGAGAUUUCAAGAAACACUUUGAAAAGCUAAAAGGUUCAAUUUCCAUGAUACAAAGCUUCUUGAACGAUGCGGAGAAGAAGCAAGUCACCGAUGAAAGUGUCAAACUCUGGUUAAAGAAGCUCGAACGUGUGGCUUUCGAUGCCGAUAAUGCCUUGGAUGAGCUCAACUAUCAACUUCUCUCCAAGAAUAUUCUGACCGAAAACACAAUGAACACAAAGGUACGAGGUUUCUUCCCACACUACAUUCAUCGUCUAGAAAUGGCACGUAAAAUCAAAGACAUCAUCAAGAAUUUGGAAGAGAUCAACCACGAGGCUUGCAUCUACGGCCUUCAAAAGGCGGUGGUGGGUGCAAAUGCUCCUGCUGAUGGAUCAAGCCGCCAAUCUGCUGCCAGAGAAACUGAUUCAUUCAGUAUUGAUCUAAUUUUUCUUGCAAGACAAAACGAAGUGUCUGAAAUAGUGAAGAUAAUGACUACUCUUCCAAAUGAUCAUUCGGUAUUCUCUAUCCUUCCCAUUGUAGGGAUGGGAGGGCUCGGAAAGUCAACCGUAGCCAGACAAGUAUUUAAUCACGAAGAGAUAAAGACUCAUUUUGCUAAGCGUUUUUGGGUGCAUGUUUCUGAAAGUUUUGAUGACGCGAUUCUUUUCAAAAAAAUUCUUACAUCUUUAACAAAAACAAACGCCGAACUUGGAAAUAGACAAGCUCUUCUAGAAAAUCUUCAGAGAGAUUUGGGAAAUGAGAGAUUUCUACUUGUUCUCGACGAUGUUUGGAAUGACAAUCAUGAAAAAUGGGAUGAAUUUAUUGUUCCUUAACAAGAAUUAGUUCUGCUACGGGAAAUGGCAUCAUUGUCACUACACGACUUGAAAAUGUUGCUUCACUGGUGAGAACACUUCCAAUGUGCAAACUAAACAACUUGUCAGAAGAUGAGUGUUGGUCCAUAAUCAAAUCAAAAGCAGUUGGCGAAGUUGAUGUUCCAUCGGGAUUUGAGACCAUUGGAGUAUCUAUUGCAAAAAGAUGUCAAGGUUUACCGUUAGCGGCCAAAGUGGUUGGGGAUUGUUGUGUGGUAAGUCGUUUGAUGAGUGGCUCUCUAUUGAAAAGAAUUGGCUCUCGGAUUUAGGAUAUGAAAAUUCAAUCUCCAAGACUUUAAAACUGAGUUUUGAUCAUUUUUCAUCACCAUCACUCAAAAAGUGUUUUGCAUAUUGUUCGAUAUAUCCUAAAGGAUAUGACUUCCAAAAAGAACGAUUGGUUGAGUUGUGGAUGGCAGAGGGAUUUCUUGGAGGAAAUGAUGAUAUGGAGGUUGUGGGCAACAAAUUUAUUAAUCUUCUUUUAGAGUACUCGUUGUUACAAGUUGUAAAGACAAAUCGCCAUUGCAAUAUAACAUAUUAUAACAUGCACGAUCUUGUGCAUGAUCUAGCAUCCUCUAUUUUAAAUUCAAGCGAUCAAGUUCGGCACAUUGGCCUACAAUCUAUUAGUGGUGAAUCGUGCGUUGUCUUAAAUGAACAAGCAAAUUGUCUUCGUUCAUUAUUGACCAAUGAUAGAAUAUCCAAUCUCAUGUUCUCGGAGUUCAAAUCGCUGCAUGUUUUAAUCCUGAUGGGCUAUCACGUUGAAGAGUUGCCAAGUUCAAUUAGAGUGCUAAUACAUUUGAGAUGUCUUGAUAUUUCGGACACAAGGAUUAGAUGUUUGCCAGACUCUAUUGGUCAACUCUAUCACUUGCAGACGUUAAGAGCGUGUCAUCAUUUGGUGAAACUGCCAAAUACAAUGAAACACUUGAUUAGCUUGAGACAUCUCCACAUUCGUCGUGGGAUAGAAUUCCCUCCAUGGGAAGAAUAACUUCACUUAGAACGCUACCAUACUUUGUAGUGAGAGAUGAAAACGGUUGUGGAAUUGGUGAGCUCGGAAGCUUGAAGAAUCUCCAAGGUGAACUGAAGAUUUAUAAUCUUGAAAAGGUGCGUGACAAAGAAGAGGCUAUGAGAGCAGGUUUAUUACAAAAGUCAAACAUACUCGAGUUAAAACUUUCGUGGAGGGUUGGAAAUAGAGAAGGUGAAAACAAUGAUGAGAGUGUGUUGGGCGGCCUCCAACCCCACCCGAAUUUGAAAACCUUACAGAUUUCCGGAUUCAAAGGAAAAAGUUUCCCGUCAUGGUUUUCAAAGAUGUCGGGGCUUAAUAAUCUGACGGAGAUAAGAAUUGAAAGAUGCAAAGAAUGUGAACAAGUUCCAACGCUAGGGCACUUGCCACAUCUCAAGAAUCUUUAUCUUGUCCGGCUGGAGAACGUGAAAUCCAUAGGUUCGUCAUUCUACGGAAGUAGAUCCAGUAAUACACGUAUCGCUGUAUUUCCCGCACUUGAAAGGCUCGAGUUGUUGAAUAUGUCGAAGCUGACAGAUUGGUUAGAAGCAGAGCUUAUGCCAAAUAUAGAGCUUAUGCCAAAUAUUGCAACUGAGAAUCGACGAGUAUCUCAAGAACUAGUUGUGGCCGCAUUUCCUUGUCUCGAGUACUUGAAGAUUAAAGAUUGCAGGCAAUUGACGAGUGCUCCAAGUCAUUUUCCAUGCCUUAAAGAAUUACAUAUUUUUCAAGUGGACAGUGGAUUGCCUUUGGCGAGUAUAUGUGGGAUCAAAUUAAAUUCUCUUGAAAGACUCACAAUUGAUGGAGUUGAAGGAUUGAAGUGUCUCCCAGAUUGGUUAUUCCGUAACAAUCAAAAUCUCUCGAAGUUGAAGAUAUGUGAUUGCCCUAACUUAGUGCAUCUAGUUCCGUGCUUGGAAGGUGGAAGAACUGCUCUUAGAGAGUUGUGGGUAUCUUAUUGUUCGAAACUGAGAGAAUUACCGGAUGACCUGCACGCCCUCAGUGCUCUUGAGAUAUUGAGUAUUUCCAGUUGCCCAAAUCUGAAGUCAAUACCAUAUCCACACGAAACACAUAAUGAUGAUGAUGGUGAGCAAUUAUUAUCAGGCUUGAGUUGCCUCCGUCGAUUGAGUAUUACUUACUGCAGAGGGUUGACCGAUUUUGCAAUUGAAAAUAUGAUCGAGUCGUGUGCGCCGUCCCUCGAGAAGUUGGAAUUGUUUGAAUUGACAAGUUUAAAGAUGAAUACGGGAAUGUUGGUUGGGAGCUUGCAGGAAAUGCCUCGUCUCUCGAGGUGGAAAAUUGGUGAUGUCGAGAUGAAGAUGACCUCUAAACAAUGGACGGUUUAUGGGCUUACUCAUGAUACGUACUCAAUGACAGUUGUUGGUGCCAUAAUGAAAGCGUCAUCAACCAAAUCUCUUUGUAGAUUAGAAUUGCACGGGACGAAACAUAGUGGGGGUUUACCGGAUCAGCUUCAACAUCACACCGGUGUUUUUGAGCUACGUUUAUGGGGUUUCGGAGAGAUAGAAGAAUUGCCCGAAUGUCUAUUUGGGAACAACAACACCUUUUCGGUGUUAUAUAUACAAAGCUGCAAGAAGUUGCACCGACUGGCGUCUAAAGAAGCCAUGCUACGUCUCACCAACUUAACUCAUUUAUUCAUCGACAAUUGUCGGUUGUUAAAUCUAAAUACGAAACGAGGUGGAGAUUCUGAGUGGCACAAGAUUUCCCAUAUACCCAGAGUCACAGUGGAUGGGCGUAGAAUUCGAACUAAUGCUCGGGGAAAGAAGUCAUGAUUAAGUCGGUACAAUUAAUCCCAUCUUAUAUAAUGAGAUGCUUCACUUUACCGACCGGUCUCUUGAAAGAGAUGGAGUUGUUCAUUCAGAGAUUUUGGUGGGGAGAUGGGAAUGGGAAAACGAUGGCGUGGAUUUCAUGGAAGAAGAUGUGCAUGGCAAAAUCGAGGGGAGGCAUGGGAUUUCGGGACUUGGAGACCUUCAAUUCCGCACUACUAGCCAAACAGGGUUGGAGGAUUUUGACAACCGGAUUUGCUCCUAUCUCUCAAGUAUUUAGGGCCCGGUAUUUCCGGCGGAGUGAUUUUCUUAGGGCUGAAAUUGGCACACGGCCAUCCUCCACAUGGCAUGUAUUUGAAAAGCCAGACCACUUCUCACUGACGGUCUUCAAAGGCAAAUUGGCACACGACCAUCCGCCACAUGGAUGAGUAUUUUAAAAGCCAGACCGCUUCUCACUGACGGUCUUCGAAGGCAAAUUGGCAAUGGGGAAACCACGUCGAUUUCAAGGUAAAUUCCUCUUAGCUAUGGUUUUCGCGUGGGAGAUCCGUAAUAAGGAGUUGCAUGGGGAAGUUGGGCUUUAAAGGGAAGAGCUAGUACCCUGGUGCAGUAAUUAUUUCACCACGUUCAGACAAUCUCUCAUACAACCCGGCACGAGGUAACGCGAGUUAGUUAAUCAAUUGAUUUUCUUGAUAUGAGUUCUUUUACAUAAAUGAUUAAAUUCAGUUAGGCAAAGAAGAAUAUUCAAAUUUUGUUAUUUGUUUAUCGGUGGUGGUGAUAUUAGUAAGAUCAUCAAUUGAAUCGUUACUAACGGAAGCCCAAAUAGACCCGACCCUUAUUUGAGUCGAGAUCAAUUAGUUAUGAGCAUGGCCAAGUUUGAGCAUUUUUAUUACACCCGAUUAAUUUAGCUAGCCCCAAUUAAGUACGACUACGUUAAUAGACACCGAUAAAUAAAACAAAACCGAGUAUAAUAUCAUUAAUUCUUAAAAGCGAGUUACGGCCUCAAUCAUAAACACAAACGUUGCGUUAUUUAGGCGAGACUAAAAGGAUCUUAAUCUUUAAACUUGAAAAAGUCAAGAACUACAACGGAUAGGAGUAACCACGGAGGUACCUUGAAUCAACUCCUGAUUCACGUACUAGUGCAAUUCUCCCAGUUCGAGCCACCUGCAAAAUUUCAAGCAAAAACUUUCAAACAUCGAGAAUUACAAACACCCAUACCGGUUUUGUUUAUAUUUUUACGAGGACUCCGUCAAAACGUGUAACUUGGAAAAUCAAAACGACUGUCAAAAGUGUGUUUGUUAUUUAAAAACUAUAUGCCAAGACGUAGCCAAUAUUAUACAACCAAAUAAGCUUAUAUUUGAUGCAUGAAGAAGAGCCUGCAAACGAGACUUACCUCACAAAUGCCAUAUGGUUCCAACAAUCUUUGCAAGGCAACCAUCUUAUCCAAAUCUCCAGUCAGCUGUAAUAAAUUCAAAACGUUUAAUCCAAGAACAGAAAAAAUAAAAAGGUGAACGAAAAACGAUGAAAAGAAACAACAAAGUCUGGGCUAUAAUAUGCUGUAAAUUUUAAAAAGCAUGUUAAUAAUUAUAAAAAACAUUUACCUCGAGGGUAAUAGUAUGGUCGGAUACAUCAACAGCUUUGGCUCUGAAAAUACUAGCAAUAUCGAGUACAUUUCUGCGUGCAGCAGCAUUCACAGCGAUUUUUAUCAACAUCAAUUCCCGCUCGGCAAAAGGCAAGUGCGUGAGAUCCCGAACCUGUACAUUAUAAAUUCACGGGUCAUAUAUUUUAUUCAGAAGCACGCUACAUUCAAGAA
rnacentral:lncRNA from 1 species